AUCCUUGCUGGGUAGGGUAAUCUUGGUUGUAGGUUUUUCCCUUUCAUCACUUUAAAUAUGUUCUGCCACUCCCUUCUGGCUUGCAGAGUUUCUGCUGAAAGAUCAGCUGUUAACCUUAUGGGGAUUCCCUUGUGUGUUAUUUUUCCCUUGCUGCUUUUAAUAUGUUUUCUUUGUAUUUAAUUUUUGAUAGUUUGAUUAAUACGUGUCUUGGCGUUUUUCUCCUUGGAUUUAUCCUGUAUGGGACUCUCUGUACUUCCUGGACUUGAUUAACUAUUUCCUUUCCCAUAUUAGGGAAAUUUUCAACUAUAAUCUCUUCAAAUAUUUUCUUAGUCCCUUUCUUUUUCUCUUCUUCUUCUGGGACCUGUAUAAUUUGAAUGUUGGUGCGUUUAAUGUUGUCCCAGAGGUCUCUGACACUCUCCUUAAUUCUUUUCAUUCUUUUUUCUUUAUUCUGCUCUGCAGUAGUUAUUUCCACUGUUUUAUCUUCCAGGUCACUUAUCCAUUCUUCUGCCUCAGUUAUUCUGCUAUUGAUCCCUUCUAGAGAAUUUUUAAUUUCUUUUAUUGUAUCGUUCAUCACUGUUUGUUUGUUAUUCAGUUCUUCUAGGUCCUUGUUAAAUGUUCCGUGUAUUUCCUCCAUUUUAUUUCCAAGAUUUUGGAUCAUCUUUACUAUCAUUAUUCUGAAUUCUUUUUCAGGUAUACUGCCUAUUUCCUCUUCAUUUGUUAGGUCUGGUGGGUUUUUACCUUGCUCCUUCAUCUGCUGUGUGUUUCUCUGUCUUCUCAUUUUGCUUCACUUACUGUAUUUGGGGUCUCCUUUUCGCAGGCUGCAGGUUCAUAGUUCCCGUUGUUUUUGGUGUCUGUCCCCAGUGGCUAAGGUUGGUUUAGUGGGUUGUGUAGGCUUCCUGGUGGAGGGUACUAGUGCGUGUGUUCUGGUGGAUGAGGCUGGAUCUUGUCUUUUUGGUGGGCUGGUCCACAUCUGGUGGCGUGUUUUGGGGUGUCUGUUACCUUAUUAUGAUUUUAGGCAGCCUCUGUGCUGAUGGAUGGGGUUGUGUUCCUGUCUUGCUAGUUGUUUGGCAUAGGGUGUCCAGCACUGUAGCUUGCUGGUCGUUGAGUGAAGCUGGCUCUUGGCAUUGAGAUGGAGUUCUCUGGGAGAUUUUUGCCAUUUGAUAUUACGUGGAGCUGGGAGGUCUUUGUUGACCAGUGCCCUGAACUUGGUUCUCCCACCUCCGAGGCACAGCCCUGAUGCCUGGCUGGAGCACCAAGAGUCUUUCAUCAACAUGGCUCAGAAUAAAAGGGAGAAAAAAUAGGAAGAAAGAAGACAAAGUAAAAUGAAAUAAAGUAUUUAAAAUAAAAAAUAAUUAUUAAGAAAUAAUUUUUAAAAAGUAAAACAAAACAAAACACACAAUAAA